UACGUAGGGUGCAAGCGUUGUCCGGAAUUAUUGGGCGUAAAGAGCUCGUAGGCGGUUUGUCGCGUCUGCUGUGAAAACUCGGGGCUUACCCCGGGCCUGCAGUGGGUACGGGCAGACUAGAGUGCGGUAGGGGAGACUGGAAUUCCUGGUGUAGCGGUGAAAUGCGCAGAUAUCAGGAGGAACACCGGUGGCGAAGGCGGGUCUCUGGGCCGUAACUGACGCUGAGGAGCGAAAGCGUGGGGAGCGAACAGG
rnacentral:rRNA from 1 species